AGUGAACGCUGGCGGCGUGCUUAACAUAUGCAAGUCGAACGAGAACGGAAUAUAGCUUGCUAUACUUGUCAGCUAAGUGGCGCACGGGUGAGUAAUGUAUAGAUAACCUGCCCUUAAGAAAGGAAUAACAGUUGGAAACGACUGCUAAUGCCCUAUAUGCCUUUAAUACAUAAGUAUGAAAGGGAAACGCUUUAGUGCUUAAGGAUGGGUCUGUAUGGUAUCAGCUUGUUGGUGAGGUAAUGGCUCACCAAGGCUAUGACGCCUAACUGGUUUGAGAGGAUGAUCAGUCACACUGGAACUGAGACACGGUCCAGACUCCUACGGGAGGCAGCAGUGGGGAAUAUUGCACAAUGGACGAAAGCCUGAUGCAGCAACGCCGCGUGGAGGAUGACACAUUUCGGUGCGUAAACUCCUUUUAUAUAGGAAGAUAAUGACGGUACUAUAUGAAUAAGCACCGGCUAACUCCGUGCCAGCAGCCGCCGUAA
rnacentral:rRNA from 1 species